AUCGCGACGUCCCCAAAGGCUAACUUUCUAGCCCUUGCUAUCUCCUUGCUUGCUAAUUCGGCCUGCUAACUGCUAGCUUGUUUAGCCCCGGUCCGCUAACUACCUUGUUAAGCCCCGGCCUACUAACUGUUAGCUUGUUAGCACAGGCCUGCUAACCGUCUGACUCAACGCGUCCCAACCACUCACCGGACCAAAUAUUUACUUUAGAACACAUUCAAGAACCUCCAGAAGCUAACUAGCUACAAGCUAUUUAGUCAUUGUUAGCCACUGCUAGCGGCCUUUACCUUCUGCACAGCCAGCCAGUUUUCUUAACCUGGAUAAUACUCGCCAGUCAUGCUUCUCUGCCCCGCCCACCGCUGGCCCCUGGACACUGAUCACGUGGCUACAUAGCUGAUGCAUGCUGGACUGUCCAUCAAUCACGAUGGAAAAUCCUACUUUCCGGUUCACGCCUUCACAGGAGUUGGUCCUCAAGGCCACACCGCAGGCAGUUAAAGUGGCCGCUGACGGCCCCCCUGCUUCUGGUGCCCAGGGCCCUCCUGUGAGGGCUAAGAAGUGGGAGGAAGUGGAAGCAGAGGCUCGAGCCCGUGUCGUCUCCUAGGGAGGUGACCCCGUUGCAGAGAUGGUCGUCCUAAGCCGGUGCACGGUUCAGUUCGGCAAGUACCGGGGUCAGAUCUUCAAGUGGAUGAUGGAGAACGACGUGGGCUACAUGAUGCACCUGGUAACGGUGCAUCAGAAGGAGAGGGAGCGAGAGCGCAGUGUUUCCCAGCAUCCCCUGAUGGCCAACAAGGACGCCUUGACUCGCACGCCUAUCCGGCCUUCGCUGAGAUGGUCAGGUUCAACCGGGCACAUGAGGAAGCUAAAGUCCUGUCCUCCCAGCCAGGCCAGGAGGGCAAGGCCCUUGUCGGCAUUGGGAAGUACAAGUGGGACACGCUGCAGGACCUGUAUGAGGCUACGGGUGCAGACAGGAUAAAAUAUGUCAGGAGCAUGAGGACGCAGACACCCCGUUAUCCUGGGAGUGCGAUGGCAGCCUUGAUUGAUUACAUUCAGCGCAGAGACCAGGAGGGGGUAGCUGCUGUGGCCGGGCACGCCGCAGCCAACACCAUCCCCGCCAGUAACACCCGGCCCAACAGUGCGGCUUACGCCUCUUGGUCCUGCGAUCUCUGCGUUCCUUUCAAGGCGCUCUCUCGCCCCAGGUGAACUGCAGGCGAAGAUGAAGAAACUCAUUGCUUCUCAGCCUGCAGUUCAAGGGGUGUCUUUCCCUCGACCAGCACUGCCACCAACCGAUAUAUCAGACGCAGAGCUGGUCAAAGCAGCUGCUGACAUAGACACAUCCGUAUCCCUACAGCUCCACCCAUCGCUCCCUCGGCCUCUGCCUCCAAAUGACCGAGCCCCGGUCCCUGCCCCGGUUCCUGACCCGGCCCCUGCUCCUGCCCUACUAGGGCGGAGCGAAGAGGAGGAUUUGCCCCGGCAGUCCUUCCUGCCUCCAAGGCCCGCCUCAGAAAGUGCUGAGCUGCUGCUUCCAGAGAGUUGGCGUUCAUCUCUCACCAAGGAGCAGCAGCAGUGGAUCGGCCGCACGCUGUUCACCAGGAACAGCUUUGGGAGGUCGACACUCACCACUGACCUGGUCACGUGGUGGAACCCUCCCCAACCACGGCCGAUCUACAAUCAGCCACCCGCAUCCCCCGACCCCUUCUUCGCAUGUCAGCUGUUCCUUUGGAUGCCCGUACGUAUAUGGGCAUACAAGCUGGCAUGUCCCCAGUCUGGGUGCAGAGGCACACUGUGCAAGGCUGGGCUCUACAAGACCAUCCGGAGGGUCUUGGACAUCGACCGCUGGUAUCUCAUGGCCACUGAGUACCUGGAAUGCGGCCGGUGUAAGAAGAAGGUCGCGGGGAGGUCACGGGACCUUGUCAGUCAGCUGGACGCUCGGCAUCGCUGCCAGUUUCCAGCAAUAUUGACAUACAAGAUGCUGAGGUCGCGCACUUUGGGGACCAGUGAGUCACAGACCUACAGCAAGCUGUGUGAAAGUCACAGCGAGUCCUUGAUGCGUAGUUGUAUACGGUACCUCGGGGAGUGCAAGCAGUUUCUGGCAUUGGGCGGCAGUUCACUGAUCCACCGGAGAUGCCCCCGGUGCCCUCACCCGUCUGGCUUCUGACAGUCUACAGCCAUGACGUGCUAUCGCGGCUGGACGAGGUGAAGGCCAGGGUCACCUCCGUCUUUGGGUCCAUCUUAAAGAUGGACUCUACCAAGAAGGUGACUAAAAAGCUUGCGGGUACCGCUGCAGACACAGCCGCCUGGGUUACCAACGUCGGUAACGAGCAUGGGCAGGUCCUCGUCAGUGUCCUCACUGCCGGUGAGGGCGAGGGCCUGCUCCCCAUGGCGGCUGGUCUCAUGGAACGGUACCGGCUCGCCGGGGUGGCGCCCCCCCCCAGCUCAUGUACGUGGACCGAGACUGCUGCUCCAGCUUUGGCGGAUCAAAGACAGCUGCCAUGUACAAUGACUGGGACCAGCUGGUGGUUCGGCUGGACAUCUGACACCUGAUGCGGCGGUUCGCGUCAGGUGUCACCUCUGAGAGCCACCAGCUCUACGGUCCCUUCAUGCGGCAGCUGUCAGCCUGCAUCUUUGAGUGGGAUGCAGGCGAUGUCUGCCGACUGCUGGAGGCCAAGAGGUCUGAGCUGGAGGGGAAGCACGGGAUGGUCGGCCUCACCGAGGCAGAGGUUUCGAGGAAGAUCGGCAGGAAGGAGAUUGCUGUCGGCGUCGUACGCGUGGAGCCGCGGAGACCGAAGUCCUUCUCCUCGAGACCUUCAACAGCGAGAAGGGGGUCGACACCCUGGGCAUCCCGUUGCUGGACUCCAUCCGCAUCCAGGCGAUCUGGAAAGAGCAGAGGCGCCACCUCCACUGCAUACAGGACCCACCCGGUGUACAGCUGUACACCGAGACCGGCAAAAUCACCAAGGGCGGCGUGAUGUUGCCGGUUUAUCGCUGCGCACGGGGCUCCACAUCCUUGGAGUCAUUCCAUCUCCACCUCAACCGGUUCAUCCCAGGUACCAGGGCAAAUGCAAUGCAUUUCCAGGCAUUCCUGUUGGAUGGACUGAUGAGGUGGAACGAGGACCGUGCGCAGGCAGCAGUGGAGGGGAAGAACAGGAAGCCCCUGCUCUCCUACAGUGGCUACCUGCAGCACAUCCUUAACCUUAGCAGCAAAAGGGUGCUUGGCAAGGAACAGGUUAAGGACUACACCAAGCCUAGCGAGUACACAGGGGAACUCCUCGGAGUGGAGUACCUGUACUCGCAGACUGGCAGAGUGCUGCAGGAUGUCAGCGGGGACCCUGACCUUCCGGAAGAGCAGCUGUCGAGCAGCUCGACGAGGGCUUUCAGGAGGAGGAUGUAGACCAGACAGUCCACAUCCCUCAUGUCCCUCGUGUGAGCGCCCCGUCCUCCAGCUCGGCGGCACCUCUGUCAGGGGAACCCGCUGACGCACCCAGGUCUGGGCCAUCCAGUCCCACCGCCCCUGAAGACGGAAGCUCUCCUGAGGCCCCUGGUCGACACAGUUCUCCUCACCCUGACCACUCCUCUGAUUCAGAGGGGAACUCCUCGGAGUGGAGUACCUGUACUCGCAGACUGGCAGAGUGCUGCAGGAUGUCAGCGGGGACCCUGACCUUCCGGAAGAGCAGCUGUCGAGCAGCUCGACGAGGGCUUUCAGGAGGAGGAUGUAGACCAGACAGUCCACAUCCCUCAUGUCCCUCGUGUGAGCGCCCCGUCCUCCAGCUCGGCGGCACCUCUGUCAGGGGAACCCGCUGACGCACCCAGGUCUGGGCCAUCCAGUCCCACCGCCCCUGAAGACGGAAGCUCUCCUGAGGCCCCUGGUCGACACAGUUCUCCUCACCCUGACCACUCCUCUGAUUCAGAGGGGAACUCCUCGGAGUGGAGUACCUGUACUCGCAGACUGGCAGAGUGCUGCAGGAUGUCAGCGGGGACCCUGACCUUCCGGAAGAGCAGCUGUCGAGCAGCUCGACGAGGGCUUUCAGGAGGAGGAUGUAGACCAGACAGUCCACAUCCCUCAUGUCCCUCGUGUGAGCGCCCCGUCCUCCAGCUCGGCGGCACCUCUGUCAGGGGAACCCGCUGACGCACCCAGGUCUGGGCCAUCCAGUCCCACCGCCCCUGAAGACGGAAGCUCUCCUGAGGCCCCUGGUCGACACAGUUCUCCUCACCCUGACCACUCCUCUGAUUCAGAGGGGAACUCCUCGGAGUGGAGUACCUGUACUCGCAGACUGGCAGAGUGCUGCAGGAUGUCAGCGGGGACCCUGACCUUCCGGAAGAGCAGCUGUCGAGCAGCUCGACGAGGGCUUUCAGGAGGAGGAUGUAGACCAGACAGUCCACAUCCCUCAUGUCCCUCGUGUGAGCGCCCCGUCCUCCAGCUCGGCGGCACCUCUGUCAGGGGAACCCGCUGACGCACCCAGGUCUGGGCCAUCCAGUCCCACCGCCCCUGAAGACGGAAGCUCUCCUGAGGCCCCUGGUCGACACAGUUCUCCUCACCCUGACCACUCCUCUGAUUCAGAGGGGAACUCCUCGGAGUGGAGUACCUGUACUCGCAGACUGGCAGAGUGCUGCAGGAUGUCAGCGGGGACCCUGACCUUCCGGAAGAGCAGCUGUCGAGCAGCUCGACGAGGGCUUUCAGGAGGAGGAUGUAGACCAGACAGUCCACAUCCCUCAUGUCCCUCGUGUGAGCGCCCCGUCCUCCAGCUCGGCGGCACCUCUGUCAGGGGAACCCGCUGACGCACCCAGGUCUGGGCCAUCCAGUCCCACCGCCCCUGAAGACGGAAGCUCUCCUGAGGCCCCUGGUCGACACAGUUCUCCUCACCCUGACCACUCCUCUGAUUCAGAGGGGAACUCCUCGGAGUGGAGUACCUGUACUCGCAGACUGGCAGAGUGCUGCAGGAUGUCAGCGGGGACCCUGACCUUCCGGAAGAGCAGCUGUCGAGCAGCUCGACGAGGGCUUUCAGGAGGAGGAUGUAGACCAGACAGUCCACAUCCCUCAUGUCCCUCGUGUGAGCGCCCCGUCCUCCAGCUCGGCGGCACCUCUGUCAGGGGAACCCGCUGACGCACCCAGGUCUGGGCCAUCCAGUCCCACCGCCCCUGAAGACGGAAGCUCUCCUGAGGCCCCUGGUCGACACAGUUCUCCUCACCCUGACCACUCCUCUGAUUCAGAGGGGAACUCCUCGGAGUGGAGUACCUGUACUCGCAGACUGGCAGAGUGCUGCAGGAUGUCAGCGGGGACCCUGACCUUCCGGAAGAGCAGCUGGUUCUCAACCUUUUUUUGGGAUACUGGAACCACUGCAUAUAAGGUUUUGAGCAGUCCUCAGUCCACAUGGUAUGUAAAGUUAGUGGAAACCUUGUGGUACUGAAUACAUUCAUUAUACUUUUUAAUUUCACGGACCCCUAGGUGUCCAUGGACGAUGUAGUUUGGUCCUAUACGGUUUGAAUGGAAUAGAGGAGAUUUCACGUUGUAACUUUUAUGUUGCAGUUUUUGUACAUGAGUUGUUGUAUUUUGGUACUGUCAUCAAAGCACCUAGCAAUGUAUUGGGGAUGUGUGUUUUACCUUGCUCCUGUGUAGAAAGAACAACUUGUCAGAUGCAUUGGAGACUGAUGUGUUCCUGUCCUGUCUAUUCACAAUACUAUUGCAGAUCAACAUAAAGCCUAAAAUACA